UCCCGUGUUGGUCAGUUGGUAGAGCAUGGCGCUUGCAACACCAGGACUGUGGGUUCGAUUCCCACGGUGGGAC
rnacentral:tRNA from 1 species